UUGAAAUGGAUGGAGCACUUUCCCAGCUGGUUUCCCCCAACACACAUUUCUAUGUCUGUCUUUUCUGACCCACUGAGAUUCAUUCAGCUUCCUUAUGGAGAUUGGAUGAGGGCUCGUGAAACACCUGCUGAAGACCAGGAGACAUAUCAUCACUCUGGUGCCUACAAUAGACAGAGAUGCUUCCAGGGGCUGUGCCAACCUGAUGCCUCUUGCCAGCUGGUCCAGGAUUAAGUCUUAAUGCCAGAAGCAUGUAAUCCAUAGCCUGUUAUAUAUUCUAUUAUCUUUCUUAUAUGCAGAAAUUUUAAAAACCAAACACCACUAUUGUAAUUUGCACAUAAACACUGCAGACUGGUCUCAUUGGAUCUCAGCUGGGCACAGCAGGGGAGCCCUACAAGACUCUCAGCUGGGAGGGAAACUUGGAGCCAGAACUGCUGAAGGAAAGCUGAGAUGGAGCUGAUCCCCAGCCUUUCCAUGGAAACCUGGGUGCUGCUGGCUUCCAGCCUGGUGCUCAUCUACAUAUAUGGGACCUAUUCUAAUGGGAUUUUUAAGAAGCUCGGCAUUCCUGGACCCAAACCUCUGCCUUUUUUGGGAACCAUUUUGGGCUACCGAAAUGGUUUGUGGAAAUUUGAUAUAGACUGCU